rnacentral:rRNA from 1 species
UACGUAGGGGGCAAGCGUUGUCCGGAAUUAUUGGGCGUAAAGAGCGUGUAGGCGGCCAGACAGGUCCGUUGUGAAAACUCGAGGCUCAACCUCGAGCUGUCGGUGGAAACUGCUUGGCUAGAGUCCGGAAGAGGAGAGUGGAAUUCCUGGUGUAGCGGUGAAAUGCGCAGAUAUCAGGAAGAACACCUAUGGCGAAGGCAGCUCUCUGGGACGGUACUGACGCUGAGACGCGAAAGCGUGGGGAGCGAACAGG